rnacentral:rRNA from 1 species
GACGAACCGUCCAAACGUUAUUCGGAAUCACUGGGCUUAAAGGGUGCGUAGGCGGUCCGGCAAGUUGGGUGUGAAAUCCCUCGGCUCAACCGAGGAACUGCGUCCAAAACUGCCGGGCUUGAGGGAGACAUAGGUGAGCGGAACCUAGGGUGGAGCGGUGAAAUGCGUUGAGAUCCUAGGGAACACCAGUAGCGAAAGCGGCUCACUGGGUCUUUUCUGACGCUGAUGCACGAAAGCCAGGGGAGCGAAGAGGAUUAGAUACCCUCGUAGUCCUGGCCGUAAACGAUGAGCACUGAUUUGGAGGGUCCUCCGUAGCCUUCCAGAUGUAGCGAAAGUGUUAAGUGCUCCGCCUGGGGAGUAUGGUCGCAAGGCUGAA